rnacentral:rRNA from 1 species
UGCAACUCGCCUGCAUGAAGUCGGAAUCGCUAGUAAUCGCGGAUCAGCACGCCGCGGUGAAUACGUUCCCGGGCCUUGUACACACCGCCCGUCACACCACGGAAGUUGGGAGUACCCAAAGUAGGUUGCCUAACCGCAAGGGGGACGCUGUCGAAGGUAGGAUUGGCGACUGGGGUGAAGUCGUAACAAGGUAUC